rnacentral:rRNA from 1 species
AUUGAACGCUGGCGGCAUGCUUUACACAUGCAAGUCGAACGGUAACAGGCCUUCGGGUGCUGACGAGUGGCGAACGGGUGCGUAAUGCAUCGGAACGUACCCAGAGGUGGGGGAUAACGCAGCGAAAGCUGUGCUAAUACUGCAUGUGAUCUGAGGAUGAAAGCGGGGGACCGAGCAGCAAUGUUUGGCCUCGCGCCUUUGGAGCGGCCGAUGUCGGAUUAGCUAGUUGGUGGGGUAAAGGCCUACCAAGGCGACGAUCCGUAGCUGGUCUGAGAGGACGACCAGCCACACUGGGACUGAGACACGGCCCAGACUCCUACGGGAGGCAGCAGUGGGGAAUGUUGGACAAUGGGCGCAAGCCUGAUCCAGCAAUGCCGCGUGCGGGAAGAAGGCCUUCGGGUUGUAAACCGCUUUUGGCAGGAACGAAACGGUGUCCGCUAAUACCGGGCGCUAAUGACGGUACCUGCAGAAUAAGCACCGGCUAACUACGUG